GGCCCGCUGGCUCAAUGGCAGAGCGUCUGACUACGACUCUGGACAUUUUCAAAGAUAUCCAGAAAUCAGGUAAUCAGGAGGUUCCAGGUUCGACCCCUGGGUGGGUCG